CGCCCUUGGUCCCCCAUACAAAUUAACACAUGCAGCCUUAUCUAGCAUUGCUCGAAGGCUAUUCCCCUCCUUUAGACCCAUGAGCAGGUGAAAGUGAAGCAACCUCAUCAUUGCAGUACGGUCACCCUCAGUUUCAGGCAAAUGGAUGUGUACCUAGGAAUGUAUUGAAGUCAAUUGCACAUCAUAUCAUAAUAACUUCAAGACUGAAGUUAUAAAUAUCAAUACACCAUGUAAAUGGAUGGGGUAAUUGAAUCUAAAGGUAAUAAGCCUUCCUACUAGAUAUGGCCACAGGCUGGUUCAGGUCCGAUUCCGGGGCAGAACUGUCAGUUCGGCCAGCUUCAAAGUUCUGCACGAUUCUGGUUUAAACCUUUGGAUAUGCCAUUAUAUACAAAGAAACAGAAACAAAAGAUGACUUGCAAAGAUGCCUCACCAUGAAGUU
rnacentral:misc_RNA from 1 species